UUUUACUUGAGUAGAAUUUUAGCAAAGUAAAGGUACUUUUACUUAAUUACAAUUUUUCUUUACUUUUUCCACCUCUGGAAAAUACAACGUACUUUUGGGGGAUUAUAUUGGAGAGAUGCAGCGGGUGAAGACGCUCCCGGACACUAGAUAGCAGCAGCAGCGCGUGAUGCGCGCGUGUUUACCUCCGGGAGCGGGUGUAGCGGAGCUGCUGUGAGGGAUGGAGCUGAGCGUGAACAGUGUGUAUAUUAGGCUGUAGUGAGAGGGAGAAUGGUGCAGUGUUUUGUAGCUGAGUGUGAGCACAGUUACAGUAAAAGCCAGUGCAGUUUUUUCCGCCUGCCCAGCGACAGAAAGACCCGCAGGACGUGGGAGAAACUCUCCGGAAGACCCCCGGACAGCUCCAAUGAGAACUCCAGAAUCUGCAGCUGCCACUUCAUGGGAGGAGUGAAGUCUGCUGGGCCAAGUCUCUUCAGCUGGGACCGAGAAAGGGUUUCUUACCUCCAGGCUUCAGAUAAUGGAGUAAAGGAAGAACCUGAGGAGAAGGAUAUUGUGAGGCCACAGGGAGGUCCUGGAAGGCCCACUAAUAACUUAUCCCUGCUGAUAGCUACAUUGGACACUCCUGAAGGAGACGAGGCGGUGGAGGAGACCAGAGUGCACUUUAAAAAGGAGGAGAUGGAAUCUGCUGACUGUUUCUCUAAAACUGUUUUGUUAGGAAAUAUGAGAGACUGGUAAAAACAGUGUGGGCGUGUGUGUGUCUGUCUGUGUGUGAGAGAGAGACAAUGUAAAUAAAUAUGCUGUAAUAUAAGCUUUCUUAAUAAUG
rnacentral:lncRNA from 1 species